rnacentral:rRNA from 1 species
GACGAACGCUGGCGGCGUGCUUAACACAUGCAAGUCGAGCGGAAAGGCCCUUUCGGGGGUACUCGAGCGGCGAACGGGUGAGUAACACGUGAGUAAUCUGCCCCUGGCUCUGGGAUAGCCACCGGAAACGGUGAUUAAUACCGGAUACGACCACUUCUCGCAUGGGAUGGUGGUGGAAAGUUUUUCGGCCAGGGAUGUGCUCGCGGCCUAUCAGCUUGAUGGUGAGGUAAUGGCUCACCAUGGCUUCGACGGGUAGCCGGCCUGAGAGGGUGACCGGUCACACUGGGACUGAGACCCGGCCCAGACUCCUACGGGAGGCAGCAGUGGGGAAUAUUGGACAAUGGGCGGAAGCCUGAUCCAGCAACGCCGCGUGAGGGAUGACGGCCUUCGGGUUGUAAACCUCUUUCAGCAGGGACGAAGCGCAAGUGACGGUACCUGCAGAAGAAGCACCGGCCAACUACGUGCCAGCCGCCGCGGUAA